rnacentral:misc_RNA from 1 species
UGGUUCUGGCAUCGAUGAAGAACGCAGCGAAAUGCGAUAAGUAGUGUGAAUUGCAGAAUUCAGUGAAUCAUCGAAUCUUUGAACGCACAUUGCGCCCCUUGGUAUUCCAUGGGGCAUGCCUGUUCGAGCGUCAUAUAUACAUUCAAGCUUUGCUUGGCAAUGGGCCCUGUUCAUUAUAGGACUCGCCCUAAAUCCACUGGCGACCGAUUUAAGUAUAGAGGAGAGAGGCAGUACAAAUGCGUCGGCUUCUCUAUAUUUCGGUAUCCAUUAAGUACCCAUCAUUUUGACCUCGGAUCAGGUAGGGAUACCCGCUGA